rnacentral:rRNA from 1 species
CUCCGGUGAUCCUGCCGGACCUGACUGCUAUCGGAUUAGUACUAAGCCAUGCGAGUCAUUGUAGCAAUACAAGGCGGACGGCUCAGUAACACGUAGUCAACCUAACCUAUGGACGUGGAUAACCUCGGGAAACUGAGAAUAAACCGCGAUAGAUCAUUAUGCCUGGAAUGGCUUAUGGUUCAAACAAUUUAUUGCCGUAGGAUGGGACUGCGGCCUAUCAGCUUGUUGGUGAGGUAAUGGCCCACCAAGGCUAUAACAGGUACGGGCUCUGAGAGGAGAAGCCCGGAGAUGGGUACUGAGACACGGACCCAGGCCCUAUGGGGCGCAGCAGGCGAGAAACCUUAGCAAUGUGCGAAAGCACGACUAGGUUAAUCCGAGUGAUUUCUGUUGAAGAAAUCUUUUGUCAGUCGUAAAACCACAGACGAAUAAGGGGUGGGCAAGUCUGGUGUCAGCCGCCGCGGUAAUACCAGCACCUCGAGUGGUCAGGAGGUUUAUUGGGCCUAAAGCAUCCGUAGCCGGCUACGCAAGUCUCCGGUUAAAUCCAGCUGCUCAACAGAUGGGCUGCCGGAGAUACUACAUAGCUAGGGAGCGGGAGAGGUAGACGGUAUUCUGUGGGUAGGGGUAAAAUCCACUGAUCCAUAGAGGACCACCAGUGGCGAAGGCGGUCUACCAGAACGCGUUCGACGGUGAGGGAUGAAAGCUGGGGGAGCAAACCGGAUUAGAUACCCGGGUAGUCCCAGCUGUAAACGAUGCAAACUCGGUGAUGCAUUGGCUUAUGGCCAAUGCAGUGCCGCAGGGAAGCCGUUAAGUUUGCCGCCUGGGAAGUACGGACGCAAGUCUGAAACUUAAAGGAAUUGGCGGGGGAGCA